rnacentral:rRNA from 1 species
UGGGGAAUAUUGGACAAUGGGCGAAAGCCUGAUCCAGCCAUGCCGCGUGUGUGAAGAAGGCCUUCGGGUUGUAAAGCACUUUCAGCGAGGAAGAACGCUUGUGGGUUAAUACCCCGCAAGAAGGACAUCACUCGCAGAAGAAGCACCGGCUAACUCCGUGCCAGCAGCCGCGGUAAUACGGAGGGUGCAAGCGUUAAUCGGAAUUACUGGGCGUAAAGCGCGCGUAGGCGGCUUGAUAAGCCGGUUGUGAAAGCCCCGGGCUCAACCUGGGAACGGCAUCCGGAACUGUCAGGCUAGAGUGCAGGAGAGGAAGGUAGAAUUCCCGGUGUAGCGGUGAAAUGCGUAGAGAUCGGGAGGAAUACCAGUGGCGAAGGCGGCCUUCUGGACUGACACUGACGCUGAGGUGCGAAAGCGUGGGUAGCAAACA